GACAGAGGGUGCAAACGUUGUUCGGAAUUACUGGGCGUAAAGAGCUCGUAGGCGGUCUGUCGCGUCGGCUGUGAAAACCCGAGGCUCAACCUCGGGCCUGCAGUCGAUACGGGCAAACUAGAGUACUGCAGGGGAGACUGGAAUUCCUGGUGUAGCGGUGAAAUGCGCAGAUAUCAGGAGGAACACCGGUGGCGAAGGCGGGUCUCUGGGCAGUAACUGACGCUGAGGAGCGAAAGCGUGGGGAGCGAACAGG
rnacentral:rRNA from 1 species